UGGAUACCAAGGGUACAAAGUUGGAUGAAGCCGAGGUGUGUGGAAGUUGUGCCGUUGCUGCCGGUUGGCCCGGUGGCCAAGGAGGAUUCUGCAAGCUGUAUAGGUCGUUUGAGAACACAUGAGGAACUCCUGCUACAUUGUUCUGCUGACUAUAUUCCAGCUUUAAGAAAGCCUGGGAAGAGAUUAGGACACUGUCGCACACAGUGGGAAGACCACGUGAGGACACAGUGAAAAGAUGGACAUCUAUCUACAAGCCAAGGAGAGAGGCCUCAGAAGAAACCAACUCUACCAACUGCUAGCCGUCAGAAUGAGUAAAGGGAAAGAACCACGUUACCUGUCAACGCUGAGAGCGCAGAGAUUGAGGACGGUGAUCCCCACUGAGGACUUCUGCAAAAAGGGGAACAACUUGCAGAGAAAUACGCCAAAGUCAUUGUGAUCAAAAGGCCAGCGCCCAGCCAGCAGCUGAAAAAAGGAAAGAGCAUGGUUCCUCCUGCCUCCCUACCAGCCCAAGAAUUUGGAAAGCAUGACAUCCUUAGAGCAGAGCAGACACUCCACAGAUGUUCUCGACUCCGGGUGCCCUCCGUGACCUGGGGGGAUGGAGAAGCACUCCUUUUAAUGAAAGCAAGUGGCUUGGUGUAGUAAAGAGCGUGGGCCCUGAAGCUCGACUUCCUGGGUUGGACUGAAUCCCAGCUCUGCUAUGUUUCACACCGUGUGACCUUGGCAUGUUGGUUAACCUCGCUGCUUCUCAGUUUCCUCCUCUAGAAAAUGGAAAUGGUGAUGGCAGCUACCUCACAGGGUUACUGUGCGUGACAGAAGAGACAAUCCAUAGAAAGCAGUUAGCAGAAGGAGAAGCUAAAAUAUACGGAAAAUUUGCCCAGUGAGCUAUAAGCACCAUACUGUAAACCCGGACUAUAAGUAAAAUGCAGGAGAAAACAGUAGGUGGUGUUGGAUGGAUGUCCAUCCGAAUGUGAGAUCACGUCAAGACACACUUCCAGCCAAGAUUGUGCUUCCUUGUGGGAACUGUGAGGAAACAGGAACCAAGGUGUGAUUGCAUUUCAAAUAUCACCGUCUGAUCACUCAGCUUACAAGCUUGGAAACUUGGUUAUCUUUUUAUUGAGAGGCUUUCCAGAAAAAUGGCUUCCUUAACUUGGAAGAGACUGAUUAAAGGUAAGAGAGUACAGUUUUUAUAAAGAC